GAUGAACGCUGGCGGCGUGCCUAAUACAUGCAAGUCGAGCGAACAGACGAGGAGCUUGCUCCUUUGACGUUAGCGGCGGACGGGUGAGUAACACGUGGAUAACCCACUUAUAUGACUGGGAUCACCUCGGGAAACCGGAGCUAAUACCGGAUAAUAUAUUGAUCCGUAUGGUUCAAUAGUGAAUGACGGCUUUGCUGUAUCUAAUAGAUGGUUCCGCGCUGCAUUAGCUAGUUGGUACGGUAACGGCCUUUCACGGCAACGCUGCGUAGCCGACCUGAGAGAGUGGUCGGCCACACUGGAACUGAGACACGGACCAGACGCCUACGGGAGGCAGCAGUAGGGAAUCGUCCGCAAUGGGCGAAAGCCUGACGGAGCAACGGCGCGUGAGUGAUGAAGGUCUUCGGAUCGUAAAACUCUGUUAUUAGGGAAGAACAAAUGUGUAAGUAGCUAUACACGUCUUGACGGUACCGAAUCAGAAAGCCACGGCUAACUACGUG
rnacentral:rRNA from 1 species